AUUAAAAAUUUUUAAUUAAUAUUUAAUUUAUCUUUUAAAUAAAAAUUCUAUAUAAAAUUAAAAUUUUUUAAAACUGAAAAGGCAAAAUAAAAUUUUUUAAGAAUUAGUCAAAAAUUCUUACCUUUUGCAUAAGGGAUAAUUAAUAAAAUAUAAAAUUUUAUUUUUCUCGAAAUAAAUAGAUCUAAUUUAAAUGAAUCAAAUUUAUUUAAAUAAAUUUCUAAAGUUUAAAUUAGAAGUGAAAUUCUUAUCAAAAUUUAUAAUACCUAGUUUUAAAAAAAAAAACUUAAAGUUUUCUUAUUUAUAUUAAUAAUUUUUAUUAAAAUAAGCUAAUUUUUAAAGGAUAAGCUUUAAAAAUAAUUAAAUAAUAAUUUUAUUUUUUUAAAUAAAAAGGAUUAAAAUUUUCUUUUUAAUUUUUAAAAAUUAUUUUAAAAUAACGAAAAAUAAAAAUUUUUAUUUUUUUAAAAGCAAAAAAAUUGUUUUUUACUGUAAAAAUGAUUAUAUAAGUAAAAAUUUUUAAUAAUUUUAUUAAUGUAUAAAUAUUAUAAAAAUCAAAUAAUUAAAAGGAACUCGGCAAAAAAUUUUUUUUGGCUGUUUAAUAAAAACAUCACAUUUAGAUGCAAUAAAAUUAAAUGCAAAUUCUGCUCAAUGAAUUUUAAAUUGCUGUAGUAUUUUGACUAUACAAAGGUAUUGUAAUAAGGUUUUAAUUGAAUGCUAAGAGAAUGAAACAACAAUAAAAUACUUUCUUUUAGUUAAAAAUUAAAUUUAUUUUUAUUUGUGAAGAAACAAUAAUAAAAAUUAAGGACAAGAAGACCCUAAGAAUUUUUUUCUUUAUUAAAUUUAAAUAAAUUAAUUAAAGAUUUAAUUGGGGCGAUUUUUAAAGAUUAUAAUCUUUAAUUAAAAAAAAUAAGAACCAUUAUUAAUGAAAGCUUGAUUAAAAAUACUCUAGGGAUAACAGCGUAAUAAUUUUUGACAGUUCUUAUAGACAAAAUAGUUUGCGACCUCGAUGUUGGAUUAGGAUACUUAUUUAAUGAAGAAGUUAAAUAAAGAAGUUUGUUCAACUUUUAAUUUCCUACAUGAUCUGAGUUUAGACCGAUGUGAAUCAGGUUAGUUUCUAUCUUAAUAUUAAAUUAAUUAUAAAUUAGUACGAAAGGAAUUUUUAUAUAUAAAUUUUAUAUUAAGAUUUAACAGUUUUUGCAUCAAUUUUUGGAAUU
rnacentral:rRNA from 1 species